AGCCCGGUCGUCUAGGGGACAAGGAUGGGGGGCUUUGGACCCUCAGACGGGAGUUCGAAUCUCCCCCGGGCUACCA
rnacentral:tRNA from 1 species